ACAUGCCUAUAACAUAGAGUUAAUGCAUUAGAUCCCAUUAGAACUCCACAGUUAAGUACGCUCGGCCUAGAGUAGUAUUGGGAUGGGUGACUUCUCGGGAAGUACUAGUAUUUUACAUGCC
rnacentral:rRNA from 1 species